GCGGGAGUAGCUCAGCCUGGUCAAAGGCGCCAGAUUCAGGGUCUGGUCCUUAGUGGUUCAUCGGUUCAAAUCCGAUCUCCCGCA
rnacentral:tRNA from 1 species